UGUAUGCAUUCUUCUGAUCAACUGCAUUUAGUGAUUUUUCUGUUUCUUUUUUUCUGUCUCUCUUUCUGCAGGCAUGUAGACUGCCCAUUCAGGAAACAAAUCGUGCAAGUAGUUCACAUUUUUGAGACAGUGAAUGCCAAUGGCAGUGCUUUUAAUCAUCAUUGAAGUGUCCAGAGCACUUGGUGAUAUGCAGGAUACAGAUCUGAUCCCUCUCCCAGGUCACAGGAAUUAUGGUUUGAACAUUCUGAAGCAAAGAAGAGCUACCUGCUUAGCAAACCAGGAAAUUCUGAGAUGCCUGGGCUCUCAAACCCCCUGGCCUGAUGCUGCUUUGUCACAGACACUGGUCAUGUUCACCUCCAGGCUGCAGAGUCCUUCUCUCCCAGUAGCUGUCAAUGCAUUUUGAGCACAGUAGGUUAAGUCCUUGUGCAAGGACACUGAUGUGGUAACAAAGAUUUCACUCUUCAAAAGGCUCAUGAAAACUCUUGCUAAUUCUGGUAACACCAAGUCCUGUACAGCCAGAAGCAGAGCAUAGAAGUCUGCUGUAGAACUAAGGAUGAGAAGAACUACAAGAAAUGUACCGUCCACGCAGCUUGUGAACAAUUCAAUAAAAGGCAACUAUAAA